rnacentral:rRNA from 1 species
CCCUGCGACUCACCUGCCCUGGACUCUGGAAUAAGCGUUGGAAACGACGUCUAAUACCGGAUAGGACCCUGUACCGCAUGGUGUGGGGUGGAAAGUUUUUCGGUUUGGGAUGGACUCGCGGCCUAUCAGCUUGUUGGUGAGGUAAUGGCUCACCAAGGCGUCGACGGGUAGCCGGCCUGAGAGGGUGACCGGCCACACUGGGACUGAGACACGGCCCAGACUCCUACGGGAGGCAGCAGUGGGGAAUAUUGCACAAUGGGCGAAAGCCUGAUGCAGCAACGCCGCGUGCGGGAUGACGGCCUUCGGGUUGUAAACCGCUUUUAGUAAGGAAGAAGCCUUCGGGUGACGGUACUUGCANAAAAAGGACCGGCUAACUACGUGCCAGCAGCCGCGGUAAUACGUAGGGUCCGAGCGUUGUCCGGAAUUAUUGGGCGUAAAGAGCUCGUAGGCGGUUUGUCGCGUCUGCUGUGAAAACUAGAGGCUCAACCUCUAGCCUGCAGUGGGUACGGGCAGACUUGAGUGGUGUAGGGGAGACUGGAAUUCCUGGUGUAGCGGUGGAAUGCGCAAAUAUCAGGAGGAACACCGAUGGCGAAGGCAGGUCUCUGGGCACUUACUGACGCUGAGGAGCGAAAGCGUGGGGGAGCGAACAGGAUUAGAUACCCUGGUAGUCCACGCCGUAAACGUUGGGCGCUAGAUGUGGGGACCUUUCCACGGNUUCCGUGUCGUAACUAACGCAUUAAGCGCCCCCCCUGGGGAGUACCGCCNCCA